rnacentral:rRNA from 1 species
GAUGAACGCUAGCGGCAGGCCUAAUACAUGCAAGUCGAGGGAGAAGUUUGGUGCUUGCACUAAACAGAAACCGGCGAACGGGUGCGUAACAUGUAUGCAAUCUACCUUUAACUGGGGCAUAGCCCGAAGAAAUUCGGAUUAAUAUCCCAUAAUAUCUAUGAAUCGCAUGGUUUAUAGAUUAAAGCUCCGGCGGUUAAAGAUGAGCAUGCGGCCCAUUAGUUAGUUGGUGAGGUAACGGCUCACCAAGACUACGAUGGGUAGGGGGUCUGAGAGGAUGAUCCCCCACACUGGUACUGAGACACGGACCAGACUCCUACGGGAGGCAGCAGUAGGGAAUAUUGGACAAUGGGCGCAAGCCUGAUCCAGCCAUCCCGCGUGCAGGAUGAAUGCCCUAUGGGUCGUAAACUGCUUUUAGAUAGGAAGAAACGCCCGGAUUUAUUUGGGUUUGACGGUACUGUCAGAAUAAGCACCGGCUAACUCCGUGCCAGCAGCCGCGGUAAUACGGAGGGGGCAAGCGUUAUCCGGAAUCACUGGGUUUAAAGGGUGCGUAGGUGGACCUAUAAGUCAGAGGUGAAAGCCUUCCGCUCAACGGGAGAAUUGCCU